GGAGCGUAUAGCUCAGUGGUAGAGUGCGUGCUUUGUAUGCACGAGGUCCUGGGUUCAAUCCCCAGUACCUCCA
rnacentral:tRNA from 1 species